rnacentral:rRNA from 1 species
AUCGAACGCUGGCGGCAUGCCUUACACAUGCAAGUCGAACGGUAACAGGUCUUCGGAUGCUGACGAGUGGCGAACGGGUGAGUAAUACAUCGGAACGUGCCUAGUAGUGGGGGAUAACUACUCGAAAGAGUGGCUAAUACCGCAUGAGAUCUACGGAUGAAAGCAGGGGAUCGCAAGACCUUGUGCUACUAGAGCGGCCGAUGGCAGAUUAGGUAGUUGGUGGGAUAAAAGCUUACCAAGCCGACGAUCUGUAGCUGGUCUGAGAGGACGAUCAGCCACACUGGAACUGAGACACGGCCCAGACUCCUACGGGAGGCAGCAGUGGGGAAUUUUGGACAAUGGGCGCAAGCCUGAUCCAGCAAUGCCGCGUGCAGGAUGAAGGCCUUCGGGUUGUAAACUGCUCUUGUACGGAACGAAAAGCCCUGGGUUAAUACCCUGGGGUCAUGACGGUACCGUAAGAAUAAGCACCGGCUAACUACGUGCCAGCAGCCGCCGUAAAAC